rnacentral:rRNA from 1 species
AACGUAGGUUCCGAGCGUUAUCCGGAUUUACUGGGCGUAAAGCGCGUUCAGGCGGUUCGGCAAGUCGGGCAUGAAAUCUCUCGGCUCAACCGGGAGAGGUUGUCCGAUACUGCUGGACUUGAGGGCAGUAGAGGGUGGUGGAAUUCCGGGUGUAGUGGUGAAAUGCGUAGAUAUCCGGAGGAACACCAGUGGCGAAAGCGGCCACCUGGACUGCACCUGACGCUGACACGCGAAAGCUAGGGGAGCGAACGGG